rnacentral:rRNA from 1 species
GUAGGUGGCAAGCGUUGUCCGGAAUUAUUGGGCGUAGAGCGCGCGCAGGCGGUCCUUUAAGUCUGAUGUGAAAGCCCACGGCUCAACCGUGGAGGGUCAUUGGAAACUGGGGGACUUGAGUACAGAAGAGGAAAGCGGAAUUCCAAGUGUAGCGGUGAAAUGCGUAGAGAUUUUGGAGGAACACCAGUGGCGAAGGCGGCUUUCUGGUCUGUAACUGACGCUGAGGCGCGAAAGCGUGGGGAGCAAACAGGGAUUAGAUACCCUGGUAGUCCACGCCGUAAACGAUGAGUGCUAAGUGUUAGGGGGGGUUUCCGCCCCCUUAGUGCUGCAGCUAACGCAUUAAGCACUCCGCCUGGGGAGUACGGCCGCAAGGCUG